CAAGAAGUAGUUUAAAAAGAAUAUCAGCUUUGGGUGUUGAUGGUGGGGGAUAAUCCUUCCUUCUUGA
rnacentral:tRNA from 1 species